rnacentral:rRNA from 1 species
AUUGAACGCUGGCGGCAGGCCUAACACAUGCAAGUCGAGCGAGCGGCGGACGGGUGAGUAAUGUAUGGGGACUGCCCGAUAGAGGGGGAUAACUACUGGAAACGGUGGCUAAUACCGCAUACUAUCGGAUAACCCAUAUGGGAUUAGCUAGUAGGUGGGGUAAAGGCUCAACUAGUCGACGAUCGCUAGCUGGUCUGAGAGGAAGAUAAGCAACACUGGGACUGAGACACGGGCCAAACUCGUACGGAGGCAGCAGUGGGGAAUAUUGGACAAUGGGCGCAAACCUGAUGCAGCCAUUCCGCGUGUAUGAAGAAGGCCUUAGGGUGGUAAAGUACUUUCAGCGGGGAGGCGUUACCCGCAGAAGAAGCACCGGCUAACUCCGUGCCAGCAGCCGCGGGAAUAC